GACGAACGCUGGCGGCGUGCUUAACACAUGCAAGUCGAACGGAAAGGCCCUGCUUGCAGGGUACUCGAGUGGCGAACGGGUGAGUAACACGUGGGUGAUCUGCCCUGCACUUCGGGAUAAGCCUGGGAAACUGGGUCUAAUACCGGAUAGGAGCCAUUUUUAGUGUGAUGGUUGGAAAGUUUUUUCGGUGUAGGAUGAGCUCGCGGCCUAUCAGCUUGUUGGUGGGGUAAUGGCCUACCAAGGCGGCGACGGGUAGCCGGCCUGAGAGGGUGGACGGCCACAUUGGGACUGAGAUGCGGCCCAGACUCCUACGGGAGGCAGCAGUGGGGAAUAUUGCAAAAUGGGCGCAAGCCUGAUGCAGCGACGCCGCGUGGGGGAUGACGGCCUUCGGGUUGUAAACUCCUUUCGCUAGGGACGAAGCUUUUUGUGACGGUACCUAGAGAAGAAGCACCGGCUAACUACGUG
rnacentral:rRNA from 1 species